CAGGGUAUAUCUUGCUCUCUUCUACCUCAAGAAUCCCCGGAGAGGUGCCAUGAUGAAGAUGGAGAUCUGCAUGCAUUGACUGGGACUGGGACACAAAGAAGCAUUCAGAACCUCUGAAAGGAAACAGGUCUAUAAAGAGUCUAGGCCAAUUGAACAAUGACAUCAUCAUCAUCAGAAGAGACUGCUGAUGAAUGACAGGGAAGUCAUGUGUUACUAUAGGCCAGUGCUCUCUGAUGAGGACAACGAAACACACCCUCUCACUCAGGCGGCGUCGCUUCCGUGUUCUCCAGCUCACCUUCCCUCCUCAUGGUCUCUGACGCUGCUAGUAAAGGAACAGGUGAUUAGAUAACUCGUUCCAGCUGAGCAAUCCACUCACCUGUCUGCUGCUUCAUGGCCGGCCCCUGCACCCACCCCGCCCACAGGGAACGCGUGAACCACGCCCCUUCUCCACAACCCCCUUUUAGACCAGUUGAUCUGCCGUCUCUUUUCUGCUCUGCCCCCGUCUCCUGCGUGGAGAGGUUAUUAGGUGACCACAGAUAAGGCGCUAGCUGUUCAAAGUCGGGACCCGGGGUGGACCACUCCUCUGUGCAUCAGUCGGUGACGUCUCUGCGCUGCUGACUUGUCUCCACUCAAGAUGAUCCUCUGCUGGCCCCACUAUGGACUGGACUCUCACACUAUUAACUAGAUCCACUCGACGUCCAUUGCACCGGGCGCCCCUCCAAGGCUUGGUAGCGUGCCGGGACACGCCCCUGCUCGCUCUGGCCGCAUUGCGGCCACGCGCCGGCAAAGCAGCUGCUGGCAAUCUGUAAUCUGCACACCUGGGACUAAUGAAGACAGACAGUAUAAAGACCAGCGGACCUGAAGAUCCAGGGCCGGAACGUAGUUCACUCCUCGCACAGUGCCUUUCCUGUUUCUCGUGAUCGAGCUGUGUGCCUCCACUCCUCUCUGGAUUUUGGACUGCCUCCCUCGAUCCUCAACCCCUGCUUGGAUACGGACCUCGUUGCUUCUCUCCAGCCCCGACCGCUUGCUUGCCCACGGACUGCCUUCUCGUCUUGCCCUUCUGGUCUGACGAAGGAUUCAUCCAACACGCACUUACAACAAACCCUGGUAACAUUUACAUUAUUAAUUCUACACAUUGUUUUACACCAAACACUGAGAGUAGCAUAGACAUCCCACACACUCAUCAAUAGCUUCAAUAAAGCUAUUGAACGGAUUCCUCCAGUGGUGUCGUCUCCUUCCCCCGCCGUAUUUAACAAGAAAUGGGCAACAAAUUAUGUUAGUAUCUGCUUUUAAAUAUUUAGGA